rnacentral:ribozyme from 1 species
UGCCCAGCAACUCCUAUCCCUACCUCCUCGUGGUACCGGCCGGAAACUAUGAGCAACCUUAGGGAAGAUCGGGUAACCAACCCCGGUGGAAACUUUGGUCGUAGGCUGACAACGAAGG